AACACAAAAUGGAUCCUUUACUGUUGCUUUACACACUGAUCAUGUAUCCAGAAGUAAACGAAGAACAAGUGGAACGCAAUGCUAAGCAAAAAGACCAUCUUCUUCACUAACAGGUACUCCAGGCGACACCCGAGAAAUUCAGGCAACCCUGACGCAGAGAUCAACACUGAACAACCAGAACCGAACAACCAGCGACUCUACAACUCUAUACCACACAUGCCGGAUUAUUCUAAAAUAAUCUAAGCGCAGCUCCAAAUGAAAUCAACAUCGUACCCCCAUCGAUCUUUGGAAGAUCCAGCUGAUCAGCUCAUACGCGCGGACCACGUGCAGAAUAACUAGAGCCAGGCCGGCCAAGAGCAGCGCGAAGAGGCCAAAGGCCAGCGAGCCUGGGACAGCCGCGGAGGAGGCGACGAUUCCCGCUACAGGAAGGAAGCGCCUGAGGUGUCCGGCCGGCCUCCACGGCUACCCUCAGGUUGGAAGAACAC
rnacentral:lncRNA from 1 species